CAUUGGCUGCAUAUUCAUUAACGGCAGAAAUUAUGGCUUUAGGUUCUUCACAAUUUUUAGUAGCCUCAUCUAAAUAGCCCAUUGCAUCGUUAGCCCACGUUGCUACCGUGUAUGUUGUUCUGGAGGUAUAGUGGAAAUUUCUCCAACUUCAGGUUCAGGUAUGGUCAAGUCACAUGAAAAAGUUGGUGCAUACCGACUAUUCCAGAUUUCUCCAAGAAAGAGACAAAGCCAUGUACCGCCUAUCCAAAGACAGGAAUCGCCGACCCGGAUCUAAGGCCAAGCGCCUCCCGGAAACGGAAUUAGGAUCCGGUCCAGGCCAACCACCGAAGCACCUAGAUGAUUCAGGUGAGAAGAAAGAAGAAGAGGCUUUGGAUGACUCUGACUCAACUACAACUUGAGAAUGCCCCGCCUACUUUAAAGAAGAAGAAGAAACGUCGUCGUACUUCCAAGUGUUAAGUUUGCCUUCAGAAGUGCUGUGGCGAAAGUAUGUGCCCCUAUUCGUCUAGGAUCCCGCCUGACGUGACUAUUGUUGGUGAGGGCUAUGAACUAGCUUGUAGGCGCUGUAUUCGUGAGGAUAAUAUGUGUGAGCACAAUAUGUCAUAUGCUCGUGCCAUUUGCUGUGUUAAUUGUAAUGACUAUGGCCACAGUUUUCUUGACUGCCCUAUGCCAAAUAUGAUAGCUGAGUUGAACACUGAUUCCAGGCUAGACGUAGACGAAGUGACUUACCACAUGCCCGUAUCGCACAAAUCAUACAACUCAUCCAUUGUUUAGUAAUGAUUGCAUAUGAGUCUGCUGAAGCUGAGGAUUUCCUGGAGUCUAGCGUAAUUUUCUUUAGAUGUAUGCUGCAAUGCUUCCCUUGAUCUUAUGGCAGGUUGUUGGUUAUUUUAUUACAAUUCAUAUUUCUAUAAUAUAUACUUGGUAAGUGUCAAAUAUUUCCACAGUA